UAGGAUUUAUCCCUGAAGCUGAAGCACGUACUAAGAGAUUCUAAAUCAGGCAGCCAAACUGGAAUAGAAAUCUCUCCUGCAGACUCUCAAAUAAGUUGCAUAAUAGAUGCCAAGAUUUUCAUUAUUUCAAUAAAGACGCCACACCUGGAGCACAAGCCAUGAUUAGCA
ensembl:lincRNA